rnacentral:lncRNA from 1 species
UCCCGCCCCUGGGGAGCAGCCCCGCCUCCGCCCCGCGCUUCUGCGCAAGCCCCGCCCUCCCUGGGGAAACCGCUGCGUAAGCCCCGCCCUCCCGGGGGGAAAGCGCCGCGUACCCCUCGGCCAUGACUUCCGGAGCUGCCACCGCUGGCCCGGGGUGCCUGCGAGGCCAACUCAUGUGUGGCCGCCUGGCAUCCUGAGAGGCGAGCAGCGGCGCCCUGGCGCCUCAGCCUUCGUCUGCGGGGCGCCGCGGCCUCAACCUCGUCACCUCAGCUCCACACGGGUCCCACGCCUUCUGGAUGGAGCUGGAUGGAGGGAGGAGUGGUUGGGGUGGGAUGCUGAGGCUCCCUGAGGGGACCGACGGUCGCCUAGACAAAGCCCGAUCUGGAUCACCACCACCCACCCACCCCAGGAAAAUAAAUAAUAUUCAUUUUUCCCCCAUCCAGAAAUAUGCCUCACGGAAUUUACCCCUGAGGCAGCAAUUGUAAGGAGUUUGACCUCACUCACCCAGAGGUGAUAAAUGGCCACACCGACCAUGACAUUCUUUGGCUGUAAAGGGGUGUGUCAUGUGUGCGUGGUUCUCCUCAAGAAAACAAAUUUAGCCGUUUUAGCCACGGGUUGGUUCAGUCGGGUGAGUGUUGCCUAAUGUGGAGGCGAAUAGAGGGGUGUUAGCUCUCCACUUGUCCUCAGAGAGGUUUUUACUGGAAACCGGAUGCAGACAUCUACAUGAGACCACGUUGUGCCAAAGAUUUCAGCCAAAACAGUGGGAGUUUCUGUGAGUAAUCUCAGAACCAAGCCCAUAGAUGCCCCCUCAACCCGCUUGAGAACCAGAAUUGCAGCAAAAUGGACUCCAGAGGGGCCACGGAAAUGCCAGUGAAGCAUGACAAAAAGAAAAAUCAGCCAUUCCUCAUUUUUUAGAGAGGAGACAGAAACGAAGAGUGGGUCUGAGAAACAGAAGAGUGUGGGUAACAAGCAGUCCAUCCGAGCUUAUGUGACAGAUGAGUGUGGGGAAUCCAAUGUAUCGUGUAGGAUACGAGGCAGUGUGGACCCAAAGAUAAAUGGAACAGCAGUCUUUUCAGUAUGGGGGCAGCAUCGAAGAAAGAGACCCAAGAGGGAAGAUGCUCUGCGUGAAAGAAUCAGAAACAAAUAAACAACAAAUACAAGCAGGCCUGACAGCAUCUGUACCAACCCUCCAACUGUGAGGACUUAAGGAACAUUGUAGAAUAGCGGAGAGAAAGACUGAGAGCCAG